rnacentral:rRNA from 1 species
GACAGAGGUGCCGAGCGUUAGGCGGAAUCACCGGGCUUAAAGCGUGUGUAGGUGGAUUCUUAAGUACUUUGUGAAAUCCCACGGCUUAACCGUGGAACUGCUUGGUAUACUGGGUGUCUUGAGCCAGCUAGGGGCUACCGGAACAAAUGGUGGAGCGGUGAAAUGCGUAGAUAUCAUUUGGAACGCCAAUGGUGAAAACAGGUAGCUGGGGCUGUGCUGACACUGAGACACGAAAGCCAGGGGAGCGAACGGG